GACGAACGCUGGCGGCGUGCCUAAUACAUGCAAGUAGGACGCAGUUGCGAACGGGUGAGUAACGCGUAGGUAACUACCUAUUAGAGGGGGAUAACUAUUGGAAACGAUAGCUAAUACCGCAUACUAGUAGAUGGACCUGCGUUGUAUUAGCUAGUAGGUAGGGUAAUGGCCUACCUAGGCAACGAUACAUAGCCGACCUGGGGGGGAGGUCGGCCAAACUGGGAAUGGGAAAAGGGCCAGAAUCCUACGGGAGGGCGCAGGAGGGGAACUUCGGAAAUGGGGGGAAACCUGACCGAGGAACGCCGGGGGAGUGAAGAAGGGUUUCGGAUCGGAAAGCUCUGUUGUUAAGGAAGCGGUACUUAACCAGAAAGGGACGGCUAACUACGUGCCAGCAGCCGCGGUAAUAC
rnacentral:rRNA from 1 species